rnacentral:rRNA from 1 species
GUGCCAGCAGCCGCGGUAACACGUAGGGGGCGAGCGUUGUCCGGAUUUAUUGGGCGUAAAGAGCUCGUAGGCGGCUCGGUAAGUCGGGUGUGAAACCUCCAGGCUCAACCUGGAGACGCCACCUGAUACUGCUGUGGCUAGAGUCCGGUAGGGGAGUGUGGAACUCCUGGUGUAGCGGUGAAAUGCGCAGAUAUCAGGAAGAACACCAGCGGCGAAGGCGGCACUCUGGGCCGGAACUGACGCUGAGGAGCGAAAGCGUGGGUAGCAAACAGGAUUAGAAACCCUCGUAGUCC